GUCUUCCGCAAUAGACGGAAGGCUGACGUAGCGAUGCCGCGUGAGUGGUGAAGGUCUUGGGAUCGUAAAACUCUGCUGUUAGGGCAGGACAAGAAAGCGUUCAAUAUGUCGCUACCUGGACUGUACGUACCCAAAAAACACCGACUAGCUACGUGCCAGCAGCCGCGGUAAUACGUAGGGGGCAAGCGUUGUCCGGAAUUAUUGGGCGUAAAGGGCACGCAGGCGGUUAUUUAAGUCCGAUGUGAAAGCCCACGGCUCAACCGUGGAAGGGCAUUGGAAACUGGCGGACUUGAGUGCAGAAGAGGAGAGUGGAAUUCCAAGUGUAGCGGUGAAAUGCGUAGAGAUUUGGAGGAACACCAGUGGCGAAGGCGACUUUCUGGUCCGUAACCGACGCUGAGGCGCGAAAGCGUGGGGAGCAAACA
rnacentral:rRNA from 1 species